GUGUGUUCUGGUAUGCAUUUUUAAGCUUCCCUUCAUUGAGAAUCUUUGGCCACAAACUAAGCAGGCAAAAGGUUUCUCACCAGUGUGUGUUCUGGUGUGUCUUUUCAAGGUUCCCUUCUCAAAGAAUCUGUGGCCACAAACUAAGCAGGCAAAAGGUUUCUCACCAGUGUGUGUUCUGGUGUGUCUUUUAAAAUUUCUCUUGUCAGAAAAGUUUUGGCCACAAUCUGAACAGGCAAAAGGCUUCUCACCAGUGUGGGUUCUCGUGUGA